GAUGAACGCUGGCGGCGUGCCUAACACAUGCAAGUCGAGCGGCCGCGCGGGGUGCUUGCACCCUGUCGGCGAGCGGCGGACGGCUGAGUAACGCGUGGGUACGUUCCCUAUAGUGCGGAAUAACUGCCCGAAAGGGUAGCUUAUUCCGCAUAAUAUCUUCGGACCACAGGAUUUAUUCGUUAUGGGCGCGGCUCGUGUCGGUUUUGGUUGUUGGCGAGGGAAUUGCUCACCAAGCUGACGAUCCGUAGCUGGGCAGCGAGGAUGCGCAGCCAGACUGGAACUGGGACACGGUCCAGACUCCUACGGGAGGCGGCAGAGAGGGAUCGAGCACAGUGGGGGAAGGCCUGAUGGAGCAACGCCGGGUGCAGGACGAAGGCCGGCGGGAUGUAAUCUGCUUUUAUAAGUGAGGAAUAUGACGGUAACUUAUGAAUAAGGAUCGGCUAACUACGUG
rnacentral:rRNA from 1 species